AUUGAACGCUGGCGGCAGGCCUAACACAUGCAAGUCGAGCGGUAGAGAGAAGCUUGCUUCUCUUGAGAGCGGCGGACGGGUGAGUAAUGCCUAGGAAUCUGCCUGGUAGUGGGGGAUAACGUUCGGAAACGGACGCUAAUACCGCAUACGUCCUACGGGAGAAAGCAGGGGACCUUCGGGCCUUGCGCUAUCAGAUGAGCCUAGGUCGGAUUAGCUAGUUGGUGAGGUAAUGGCUCACCAAGGCGACGAUCAGUAGCCGGCCUGAGAGGGUGAUCGGCCACACUGGAACUGAGACACGGUCCAGACUCCUACGGGAGGCAGCAGUGGGGAAUAUUGCGCAAUGGGGGAAACCCUGACGCAGCAACGCCGCGUGGAGGAUGAAGGCCUUCGGGUCGUAAACUCCUGUCAGGUGGGAAGAAUAGGCUGCAGCUAACAACUGCAGCUGUUGACGGUACCACCAGAGGAAGCCCCGGCUAACUCCGUGC
rnacentral:rRNA from 1 species